rnacentral:rRNA from 1 species
ACUCCUACGGGAGGCAGCAGUGGGGAAUAUUGGACAAUGGGCGAAAGCCUGAUCCAGCCAUGCCGCGUGUGUGAAGAAGGUCUUCGGAUUGUAAAGCACUUUAAGUUGGGAGGAAGGGCAGUUACCUAAUACGUAUCUGUUUUGACGUUACCGACAGAAUAAGCACCGGCUAACUCUGUGCCAGCAGCCGCGGUAAUACAGAGGGUGCAAGCGUU